rnacentral:rRNA from 1 species
AGUCACUGACAUUAGAUACCCCCUGUAGUCCAGGGUGUAAACGCUGCAGACUUGGCGUUGGAAGCCCUUUGGGGGCAUUCAGUGCCGGAGAGAAGUUGUUAAGUCUGCUACUUGGGGAGUACGUCCGCAAGGAUGAAACUUAAAGGAAUUGGCGGGGGAGCACCGCAACGGGAGGAGCGUGCGGUUUAAUUGGAUUCAACACCGUAAAACUCACCAGGGAAGACUGUUACAUGAAGGCCGAGAUGAAGACUCUGCUAGAUUUUCAG